AAAUCUGCUUAGGCGCUUGAGAGAACUCGGGUUAAGGAACUCUGCAAAUUGAUACCGUAACUUCGGGAGAAGGUAUUCCUCCGGUUGUCAGUGGACUUGCUCCACAAAGCAGCUAGAGGAGGCACGAAAUCGGGGGCUGCGACUGUUUACCAAAAACACAGGACUCUGCGAACACGAAAGUGGAUGUAUAGGGUCUGACGCUUGCCCGGUGCCGGAAGGUUAAUUGAUGGGGUCAGCCGCAAGGCGAAGCUCCUGAUCGAAGCCCCGGUAAACGGCGGCCGUAACAAUAACGGUCCUAAGGUAGCGAAAUUCCUUGUCGGGUAAGUUCCGACCUGCACGAAAAGCGUAACGCUGGCCCCACUGUCUCGACCCGAGACUCAGUGAAGUUGAAAUCGCUGUGAAGAUGCGGCGUAGCUGCGGAAAGACGGAAAGACCCCGUGAACCUUUACUACAGCUUUACACUGAACUUUGAACUUGUUUGUGUAGGAUAGGUGGGACCCUUUGAAGCGGAGGCGCUAGCUUUCGUGGAGGGAACGUUGAAAUACCACCCUGACAAUUUCGGAGUUCUAACCUCGGCCCAUUAUCUGGGUUGGGAACAAUGUAUGGUGGGUGGUUGACUGGGGCGGUCUCCUCCCAAAGAGUAACGGAGGAGUGCAAAGGUACGCUCAGCGCGGUCGGUCAUCGCGCACAGAGUGCAAUGGCACAAGCGUGCUUAACUGUGAGACGUACAUGUCGAACAGGUGCGAAAGCAGGUCAUAGUGAUCCGGUGGUUCUGUAUGGAAGGGCCAUCGCUCAACGGAUAAAAGGUACUCCGGGGAUAACAGGCUUAUUCCUCCCAAGAGUCCACAUCGACGGAGGAGUUUGGCACCUCGAUGUCGGCUCAUCACAUCCUGGGGCUGUAGCAGGUCCCAAGGGUUCGGCUGUUCGCCGAUUAAAGUGGUACGCGAGCUGGGUUCAAAACGUCGUGAGACAGUUUGGUCCCUAUCUUCCGUAGCCGUUGGAGAUUUGAGGGUGAGCUGUCCUUAGUACGAGAGGACCGGGAUGGACGCACCUCUGGUGUUCCGGUUGUCACUACAGUGGCACUGCCGGGUAGCUAUGUGCGGACGGGAUAACCGCUGAAAGCAUCUAAGCGGGAAGCCCCCCCCAAGAUUAGAUCUCCCUGGGAACUUGAUUCCCCUAAAGGGCCGUCGAAGACUACGACGUUGAUAGGCUGGGUGUGUACAGGCAGUAAUGCCUUUAGCUAACCAGUACUAAUUGCCCGUGAGACUUGACCGA
rnacentral:rRNA from 1 species